rnacentral:rRNA from 1 species
UACAGAGGUCUCAAGCGUUGUUCGGAUUCAUUGGGCGUAAAGGGUGUGUAGGCGGCCCGGUCAGUCCGCCGUGAAAGUCCAGGGCUCAACCCUGGAAUGCCGGUGGAUACUGCCGGGCUGGAGUCCGGAAGAGGCGAGUGGAAUUCCUGGUGUAGCGGUGAAAUGCGCAGAUAUCAGGAGGAACACCGAUGGCGAAGGCAGCUCGCUGGGACGGUACUGACGCUGAGACGCGAAAGCGUGGGGAGCAAACAGG